GCCGGGUGUGGUGGCCCACACCUCUAAUCCCAGCAGCUCAGGAGGCCGAGGCAGGAGUAUCACAAGUUUGAGGCCAGCCUCAG
rnacentral:sRNA from 1 species